GCGGUGGAAAAUGAACCAAAUGGGAUUCCUUAAGUAAUUGCGAAUGAACAAGGAAAUGCUCAGCUUGAAAAAUGGGGCCUUUGGCUUUGAAUUGUAAUUUUGAAAUGUAUUGCCAAUGGAGGCGCAGGUGCAAGCCUAUUGAAAGAAAGCGUCAAUGAGGGUGAGAUUCCUUUUUGUCAUUUGCAGUCCUCCGUGCACGGUAUAUAUUUGACGAGUCACACUCCUCGGCAUUGGAAUGCAAAGUGGGUGGUAAAUUCCAUGUAAAGGUAAAUAUAUUAUUGAGACUGAUAGCAAACAAGUACCAUGAGGGAAAUAUGAAAAGGACUUUGAAAAGAGAAUUAAAAGAGUCUGCAUUUGCUGAACAGAAAGCAAACAGAAUUGAUUUUACUUGGUGAGAUUGUUGUGCUUACUCUAUCAUUUAUAUGGUUGAUGUGGGUGCGAUGGUUCUUACCUUGAAUGUCAGCUUCUAUUUCUGCAAAUCAUUACCCUUGCACAUGAAUGGUAAUUUGCCUGCGGGUAUUGGAAUGCAUGUGUUUGCAAUGAUUUGUGAUUUGACGCAUGUGUUUGGUGAAAUUUGUAUAUGCUCUUUUGUCGAAGGGGAAAGCUUACUUUUUUGAGCAUUGCAAGCCCUUACACAUCAGUGCUGGCAAAAUGUUUCUGCUUGAC
rnacentral:rRNA from 1 species